GGGGACGCCUUUCCCUCCUGUGGUCUGCGAUGUGCUUUCUCCUCCUCCUGCCUGGGGGGCAGGAUGGGGCUCGGAGGCCGCAGCCCAACGGGGACUCCCCUUUGUCCUGCUUCUGAGCAGACCCUGCCCCAGGCCCUGGCAACCAGCAGCUCCCAGGGCGGUGGGAACAUGCUGAUUGCUGGGUGGCCCAAACAUCCCCUGUGCAGGGGCCAGGGGAACCCAGAGCAAGGGCCCAGCUUGUCGCCAGGGCAGAGGGCUCUGGGGCGGCCCGGGCAGGGGGAGGCAGGAGUGUGUCUGUUUUGGCACCAUCAGCCUCAGAAAAACCACAGGGAACAUUUCACCACAAACCAGCCAGUCCCACGCAACCAACCGCCCCCGUGGCUUCCUCCCUCUGACCUGGAAUCUCUGGGGUGUCUGCGGAAGGAACCUCGACAAAGGCAACAUUCAGGGCUCAGCAAGGGAUUCUGGGGCCUCCGGCCUCCUGCCUGCUUCCAUCUCACCCCUCCUUUACUGAGGGGCUGCUAUGGGCCACGUGCUAAUGAGCAAAAACCAAACAGGGCCCCUGUCCUGUCUGGCUCAGGGGCCAGCCGGGAGGGGGUUAAGCAAUUACUCAGUGUGAGCGUCCAGCCACAGCCCCCAGUUCAGUGAAGGCCAGGGGGCAGGGUGACACUGGCCGUUCGAGCGGGGUACCGGCGGAGCUCAGGGGAGAGAAGGGCUUCCUCAGCAGAGAAGACAGCAGAUGCAAAGGCCCCGAGGCAGGAGACAAGGGGACCAGGACUUCUUUGGACUCCUCCCUGAGCUGUCAGGAGGACGCAUUCCAGGGGGCCAUUCGGGAAACGCGGCUCUCAGGCCAAGGGUGACGGCAGCCCCAUCCCCCAUCAGCCAGCCUUCGCGGCGGACGGGGUCCCCCACCCCAGUACCCACGGCGGACCCGGGAGGCGGGUGGGAAGAGCCCACUGGUCACAGGAACAGAAUCAGAGGGAACAUGCUUUGCAGAGGGUCUCAGAGCUGGUCUUGCAGAAACCAGGACUCCAGCCCAGGACCGACGUCAGCAUCCCAGGCUCCCUUUCCUUGGGUCCACGGGUUGCUCGGGGCUUUCUGGGCCCCCAGGGACUGCUGGGUCUGGGGCAUCCACUUUGCCUCAGUCCUUUGCAAGCACCAAGCGUGGGGCCGGGACCCUCUCCUAACAAGGCCCACGCCGGGUCUAGGCCACCAGCCUUUUGUAAGAGAAAGGCCGGCUGGUCUGGGGUGCCUCUUCGUGCCCCACAGGCCAGGACAGCUGGACCUUUCCGCUGGGAUCCUGGGGCCCAUCUCAGACUCUUCCUGUCACUUUCCUGGAUUUACUUUGUACUUUGGGGUCCCCUGUAUCCCCCAUGUGAAGGAGGCCACCUUGGCUCCCUUACACCUGGACUCUCAGGAGCAGCACAAUUCCUGAUUUUAACAGCCACUAAGUCCUAGCAUUUCAUGCCAUGGUGAACUGGGGGGCCACAGGGCCAUUCCCAUGGCAGCCAGCGUGGCACUCACCAGGCCUGUGGCCUUGAAUGUGCGUACUGCUCCCGGGACUGCCAAGGAGCUGACCCCUAGGGAUGCUAUGCACAGCUGCUCAGGCCGUGCACUGCACAAUUCCACGUACUGUGCCUGGUAGCAGAUCUGGUGGGGAUGAAGAUGCUCUGAGCCAGUGUAAGCAGAGUACCCAUAACAACGCCAGGCUCAGGGCAGUGCUGGACACACAUCAGCCAGCACCGUUCUUAUGACUCUCUUCCCAUUAUCACUCAGCAUUAUGUUUGAGGGCUGUGCUCAGCACUCGCCACCCGUGAUGUCAAUCCAUCCUUCUGACAACCUGCGAAGGGCUCCUGGGUCAUUUCUAGGUAACUGGAAGCCAGAGAGCUUGCAUGACUCAAUUAAAGGCACACCGUCAGUGACUAGAGGAAAUGCGAUUUGAACCCAGGACCACUUGACUCUACACGCCAGGGCUUCAAGCCAGGACAUCGAGCUGCCCCUCAAAGCCGCCGCUCGAAGCAUCUCAGCCCUGCCCCCGGGUGCUUGGGCGGGGGGACGGGGGGCACAGUGUAUUAACAGAGGAGGGGAAGGGAAGGCCAUUCACUCUCAACUCCUGACCUCUGCCCACAGGAGACACUGCGUGUUUCUCCAAGAGCAGAUGAAGGACCCUGGGCACGGAGAUGUCUGGUAAAGGAGCUCAAAAUGCAGAUUCCUGGGCCUCACCCCACUGCCAGUGAUCCCGAAUCUCAGUGGCUGAUACUCUGCCGGCUAGAGAUUUAGCAGAGGACACGCGGGACACCCCUUAAAUUUGAAUUUCAGUGAACAACAAGUAACUUUUUAACGGAAGUAUGUCCCAAGUGGGUUGCGGUCAGGUGGCAGGAAAGGGGGCCUCUGACAUCAUGGGUGCCGGGGGCGUCACAGUCCGAGUCGCUCAUGGGAUCUGUUUACUGUCCAUUUCUCCCAGGAUAAUUAUUGUGUGUGCUGAUGGAUCACUAGCCCCUCACAUCUGGAGCAGCUGCAGGCCCUUGGCUGGCUGUCGGCAGGUAACUGAACGCGGGGAGCAGGGCUCUUGGGGUCUGCGAGGAGCCGGAGGUUGGCUUCAAGGAGCUGAAUGGCCCUGUUGAAGAAGGCUGGGGCUGAGGCGGGAGGAAGGCCGGCCUGGGCCCACAGGGCACCCUUCAAAGAUGUUUUCCACGUGGUAUCAUGAGCCCCCUUCCCGGAUGAGGAAACUGAGGCUCAGAAGUCUCCAGGUUGCUCAGAAAACAAAAGUGCCAAUGUGGUCUCACCACUGGCUAUUCACGCGUGUUCUUACGUGGGGGUCUCCUCACACUGAACAGGCGGACAAAGAUCUAGCACCCCAAAAAUGCAAAGCACGUUUCAACACAUCAGAAAAUAAAGCAAAAAAAAAAAAAAAAAGAAAAAAGGGUAGAGCAUAUUAAUGGAUAAUUCACCAAGAGGGAAAUGGAAAUGAGGGCCGUAAACAUAUUAAAAAGAUGGGUAAUCUCGCUAAUUAAUAAGGAGCACAGAUUAAAACCACAAUGAAUUGCUCACCUUUAUUCAUCAGAUGGAUAAAAAGCCAAAAGUUUGAUAAUAGUCUGUGCUGAUUAAACUUUGGAAAAAUUGGCACCCUCCCCCGCUGCUGGAGGAGUUAUAAUUUGGCAUGAGUCUUAAUGGAACCUAACAGGGCGACAGCGACAAGCAUAGCACAUCCAUAAUGCACUUUUGGAAUUAGCAAUUCCAAUUCGAAACCCGCCUUCCGCAGCAAAGUCCUCGCACAGAUGUAAACAGGUGCAGGUACACAGCUACUCAUUAAAGGGUUUUUUGGUAACAGCAGAAAAUUGGAACCCAUCCAGUAAAACGCUACGCAGCUGGAAAGCGAGAGGCACACAAGUAGGAGUUUAGCCCCCUCCGCUCAGGGACUUUUCGGUCACCCUUGCCCGGCCUCCCCCUGAAAAUCUCCAAAGCUGCUCUUUGGCAUUUUGGGAACCCUCGAGAAUCACAUCCAAGCAUUAAUGGUAAGACGCGGAGGUUUUUAAACCUACAGAUAAAAAUCCUCUUGGGGGUGGGAGGGCUGGUUUUGCUUAUUACAAUCUGCUACUUAUAUAAAUUGGUAAAAUACUUACUGUUGGAUCAAAAGUCUCUGAGGACGACUUGGCUAUUUUUUUGGUUUGUUUGUUUUUUCCUUUUUUUUUAGGGUCACACCGGCAGCAUAUGGAAGCUUCCAGGCUAGGGGUCAAAUGGGAGCUGCGGCUGUCAGCCUAUACCACAGCAAUACCAGAUCCAACCCGCAUCUGCAGUCUACACCACAGCUCACAGCAAUGCCGGAUCCUUAACCACUGGCGAGGCCAGGGAUUAAACCAGCAUCCUCAUGGAUACUAGUCAGGUUCUUAACCCUCUGAACCACAACCGGAACUCCUUGACUCUCUGUUUUAAAGUUAGGAAAGAAAAAAAAGAUACCCAUCACCUGACAAGAGUGCCAACAUUACCCAGUGGGCAAAGAACAGUCUCAUCAACCACUGGUGGGACAACUGGAUACCCACAUGCGAAACAAUAAUAAUAAUAACACUGAAUCCCUACUUCACACCGUAUACAAAAAUUAAUUCAAAAUCGAUCAAAGGGAGUUCCCAUUGCGGCUCAGUGGUAAUGCACCUAGCUAGGAUCCCUUGAGGAUGCGGAUUUGACCCCAAGCCUCGCUGGGUGGGCUGCACCUGGGGCAUAUAUGAAGUCUCUGAUGACGACUUGGCUCUCUCUCUCUUUUUUUUUUCUUUUUUUUUAGGGCCACACCUGCAGCAUAUGGAGGUUCCCAGGCUAGGGGUCAAAUCGGAGCUGCAGCUGUUGGCCUACACCACCGCCACAGCAACGCCAGAUCCGAGCCACGUCUGCAGCCUACACCACAGCUCAUGGCCACGCUGGAUUGUUAACCCACUGAGUGAGGCCAGGGAUCCAACCCGCGUUCUCAUGGAUGCUAGUCGAGUUACCACUGACCCACAAUGAGAACUCCAAAUAACCCAGUUUUUAAAAUGGGCAAAAGCCAUUUCUCCCAGGAAGGUACGCAGAUGGGCAAGAAGCUCACGAGACGAUGCUCAGAGUCAUUAGUCCUCAGAGAAAUGCAAAUCAAAGGUGCAAAGAGACGCUACUCAAUAGCCACGAGAAUGGUGAGAAUCAAAACGCCCAAUAAUAACGUUGGCAAAGAUGUGAAGAAAUCGGAACCCCUCGUGCACGGCUGGGGGGAAUUUAAAACGGCUCAGCGGCUUCGGAAAACAGUAUAGCAGCUUCUCAAAUGAUUACAGGGUUACCAGAUGACCCAGCAAUUCCGGCCCUAGGUAGAUACUCAAGAGAAAUGAAAACGUACAUCCACACAGAAAGUUGUGCACAACAUGCCCAGAGCAGCAUUAUCUAGAAGAGCUGAAACACAACCCCAGUGUUUAUCAACUGAAUAAUGGAUAAGCAAAAUGCGGUUUAUCCAUGUACAAUGGAGUAUUAAUUAUUCACCCAUGAAAAGGAAUGAUGCAC
rnacentral:lncRNA from 1 species